AGUGAACGCUGGCGGUAGGCCUAACACAUGCAAGUCGAACGGCAGCACAGUAAGAGCUUGCUCUUACGGGUGGCGAGUGGCGGACGGGUGAGGAAUACAUCGGAAUCUACUUUUUCGUGGGGGAUAACGUAGGGAAACUUACGCUAAUACCGCAUACGACCUACGGGUGAAAGCAGGGGAUCUUCGGACCUUGCGCGAUUGAAUGAGCCGAUGUCGGAUUAGCUAGUUGGCGGGGUAAGGGCCCACCAAGGCGACGAUCCGUAGCUGGUCUGAGAGGAUGACCAGCCACACUGGAACUGAGACACGGUCCAGACUCCUACGGGAGGCAGCAGUGGGGAAUAUUGGACAAUGGGCGCAAGCCUGAUCCAGCCAUACCGCGUGGGUGAAGAAGGCCUUCGGGUUGUAAAGCCCUUUUGUUGGGAAAGAAAAGCAGCAGGUUAAUACCCCGCUGUUCUGACGGUACCCAAAGAAUAAGCACCGGCUAACUUCGUG
rnacentral:rRNA from 1 species